CAUAAGAUGCCUGCCAGUAUGUGGAGUGAAUGAAAGCGGAAAACAUCGUUUGUUCUUCGUGGUUCGGAUAAAAUAUAUUUUUAUAAAACCUUCUGUAAUACUGCGAGUGAUAAUGAUCAUUGAACUUAAGUAUCAACACUGAACAUAAAGAAGUUGUGGCCAUGCCAGACAGUUGUACAUAUUAGAGAACAAGCCGACAAUUAUGGCCACAAGAAAACAGGAGACGAGCGGUUGCUGAUGUUCUGAAAGGGGCGAUGGGUUAUAUGAGGGCUUCAAAAGAGUUUGAGCAAGAAGUGGCUGUAUGCUGGACUGUGGGAAAGAAUGGGCUGCAACCAAACAGUGGUGAAGAAUUUAUUUUGUUUAUCUCCUUUGUCUGACAAAUACAACUUCACCCCAGGAAACAUUUAUAAUUCUGAUGAAACUGGGAUUUCUACCGUACCCAGUAAGCAGAUUCAAAUGCUUGGACUGAGGGUAAAGAAGCAAGUCGGUGGCUUGUCUUCGGAGCGGUGAAUGCCUUCGGAGUUUUUAUGCCAACAAUGUUUAUUUCUUCAGUCUUGAGAGAAUAAAGAGUUGACCACCAGAUAGCACAGCGGAAUAUCAUCCCAGUGGUUGGAUCAGCAAGGAAGUAUUUUUCAAAUGUUUCUGUCUUUUUAUUGAAUUUUUAAAGCCAACAGGAAACCCAUCCUGCUUUUGGAUGGACGUGUAAGUCAUACAGAGAGCCUGGAGCUGAUUGAACACGCGUGUAAAAGUCACGUCCAUUUGUGCUUUCCACCACACCACCUAUACAUCUCCGUUUUUUGGUUACUUUGAACCAAUAUUGUACGUAGGAUUUCAGGUUUUCACGGC